rnacentral:piRNA from 6 species
GGGGAUGUAGCUCAGUGGUAGAGCG